rnacentral:rRNA from 1 species
UACAGAGGUCUCAAGCGUUGUUCGGAUUCAUUGGGCGUAAAGGGUGCGUAGGCGGCGGGGUAAGUCAGGUGUGAAAUCUCGGGGCUCAACCCCGAAACUGCACUUGAUACUGCCUCGCUUGAGUUCGGGAGAGGAGCGUGGAAUUCCCAGUGUAGAGGUGAAAUUCGUAGAUAUUGGGAAGAACACCGGUGGCGAAGGCGGCGCUCUGGACCGAGACGUGACGCUGAGGCGGCGAAA